GCUGGGCGUGGUGGCGCGUGCCUGUAAUCCCAGCUACUUAGGAAGCUGAGACAGGAGAAUCACUUGAACCGGGAGGCGGAGAUUGCAGUGAGCCGAGAUUGCGCCACUGCACUCCAGCCUGGUCAACAGAGCGAGACCCUGUCUCAA
rnacentral:SRP_RNA from 2 species